rnacentral:rRNA from 1 species
GACGUAGGGGGCCAGCGUUGUUCGGAAUUACUGGGUGUAAAGGGUGCGUAGGCGGCGCGGUAAGUCGGGCGUGAAAUCUCGGGGCUUAACUCCGAAACUGCAUUCGAUAACUGCCGUGCUUGAGGACUGGAGAGGAGACUGGAAUUUACGGUGUAGCGGUGAAAUGCGUAGAUAUCGUAAGGAAGACCAGUGGCGAAGGCGGGU